rnacentral:rRNA from 1 species
AUGGGCGGCGGGAGGAAGCGGCGCAGGCGCGACGGCUCGGACGCGCCGCCGGUGAUGCACCCGCGCAACCGCUACGCCGCCGCGGCGCCGGACUUUGCGGCGCUGGCGUCGCUCUACCCCUCCUUCGCCCCCUUCGUCACCGUCUCCGGCGGGGGCCGCGCGUCCGUCGACUUCACUGACUUCGCCGCCACGCGGGAGCUCACGCGCGUCCUCCUCCUCCACGACCACGGCGUCAACUGGUGGAUUCCGGAUGGACAGCUUUGUCCUACUGUUCCUAACAGAUCCAACUACAUCCAUUGGAUUGAGGAUCUUCUCUCUUCUGAUCUCAUACCACGAAUAUCCAACUCAAGUGAGACAGUGAGGGGUUUUGACAUAGGCACGGGUGCCAAUUGCAUCUACCCUCUCCUCGGAGCAUCGUUACUGGGCUGGAGCUUUGUUGGAUGUGAUGUGACUGAUGUUGCUCUUGAAUGGGCUAAGAGGAAUGUGGAGAGCAACCCACAUCUAGCAGGUCUAAUAGAGAUCAGAAAUGCAAAUGAAGCACUCUGUUCUUCGAAGUCUGAAACAGUUGUUGAGGAAGCUGUCAGGGAGAACACUUCAGAGCCAGUGGACAGUAUGGUGAGAUCAAUAGCACCUAUUUUUGUCGGUGUUGUGAAGGAUAGUGAGAGCUUUGACUUCUGUAUGUGCAAUCCACCUUUCUUUGAGAGUAUGGAGGAAGCUGGCCUUAACCCAAAAACUUCUUGUGCUGGAACUGCUGAAGAGAUGGCUUGCCCUGGUGGCGAGCAAGCCUUUAUAACACAUAUAAUUGAAGACAGUGUUUCCUUUAAGAACUCUUUCAGGUGGUUUACAUCGAUGGUUGGCAGAAAAGCAAAUCUAAAACUAUUAGUAUCCAAAGUCCGUGAAGCUGGGGCCUUAGUUGUGAAAACUACUGAGUUCGUGCAAGGACAAACAGCUAGAUGGGGCCUUGCAUGGUCGUUCAUUGCUCCAAGAAAAAAUGUUAUAAGAUCCAGUACACCCGGAAAAGUCCACCAUUCUUUCAUGCUUCAGGGUCUCCGGCGUGGAAAUGGUGCGUUUCAGGUGUUGAAGUCAGCUGAGGCCUUUUUCUGUGCAUCUAAUCUAUCAUGUAAAACCGAUUCUGUGUCAUUUUCUAUUGAUGUUACAUUGUCAGAUGGGCAGAUUCAGGCUGCAACAUUGGAUGGUGAUGACCUUCCUGGUUCUGUUGAAGACAACACUACGAAGCUGCAUAGCACUAUUACAGGAGCAUCCUUCCGUAUUUCGGUGUUUGAACAGAUGCCUGGCACACUGUUAAUCAAAGGCUCAUUAUUGAACAAGUCACUGUCAGGUACCUUCACAUCAUUGUUCUCCCAGCUGGAGGAGACGUUGAGGACGGAGUUCAUCAUCAAGGACCGGUAG